rnacentral:rRNA from 1 species
CAUAGCGACUAUCGUGGCAUAUCAAUAAGCGGAGGAAAAGAAACUAACAAGGAUUCCCCUAGUAACGGCGAGUGAAGCGGGAAGAGCUCAAAUUUGAAAUCUUAAAGGGUUUCCCUUUACGAAUUGUAGUUUAAAGAAGUGUUUUCUGUUGGAGUUUCGGUAAAAGUUCUUUGGAAUAGGACAUCAUAGAGGGUGAGAAUCCCGUAUUUGACCGUUACUUUCCAGCUGUGUGAUACACUUUCAAAGAGUCGGAUUGUUUGGGAAUGCAGUCCAAGAUGGGUGGUAAAUUUCAUCUAAAGCUAAAUAUUGGCGAGAGACCGAUAGCGAACAAGUACCGUGAGGGAAAGAUGAAAAGAACUUUGAAAAGAGAGUUAAACAGUACGUGAAAUUGUCAAAAGGGAAGCGUUUGACACCAGUGUUGUUUAGUUGAAAAUCAAUUCAAUAGUUUUUGGAUUCUAAGUAGUAUUGACUUCAUCAGCUUGCUGCUUUCUUCUCAGAAAUUAUUGAAUGCACUUUUCAGUUAACAAGUCAACAUCAAUUUCUUUUGUUGUAAAAGGGUAAGAGGAAGGUGGCUUGCGCUUCGGCUCAAGUGUUUAUAGCCUUUUAUCUCUGCAAUCGGAGAGAUUGAGGUCUGCAGCGUAGAUCCUUCGGGGUUAGAUACAUUGGUGCUAAGCUAUAGCCUUGUAUAGACAACUUGUUGACUAUGCUCAGUCAUGUAGCUUACUCGCUGAUGCUAUUUUACCUACGCUUAGGAUGUUGAAGAUAUGCGCGACACG